rnacentral:lncRNA from 1 species
GGAAAUUCAAUGCUGAUUGAGGGGUGUAGAAUGAAACUGGGAUGAAAUUCAAUAAAACAUGUUAAGCCCAAUCUCAAGGCCCAUUAGAACCAAAGCUCUUGAAUGAACACGUGUGGAAAUGACUCAACAAGUCAGUCAAAAUGGCACGUGGGGAAUUGACAUUUAUUUUUAAAAUAGCUAAAAACACGUUAAUUUCAUUAGCUCAGGCAUGCUUACUGUGGACCACCGCGCCGGAAAUCGCUUCUGGCGGCGGUGGCCACUAGAAAUGAGGAACACACACAUUACCUGAAUUCUCCCUCCCUUGAUUCCAAAUAUCAAGUCCAAACUUCCUGAUUCUCACUUAAAACCACGAAUCCAAUCCAUCUCCACAAGAACCCUAAGCCUAUGAAUCAAAAUUAAAUCCUCAAGACUUGGAAUCAAAGACCUAGAGGUUAGGGCUUUAUUUCCCCUGAUCUCAUUCUACAUUAUGGUAUCAAUUAUGCUUCAAGUGGUUACAGAAAUUAAACUCACCUGCCGGAGAAGAAGGUUGAGAUCGGAGCAACGCCGGUAUCUGAAUAAUUCCAGGUACCAGCUCUCCUUUUUCACGCUCUUGAACUCCACACUUCUUAUUAUUCUUUGCGUUUUGAUAGUGAAUCAGUGAGUCAGAUUUUGAUGUGGCUUAGCUCAAGAAAAUUGAAGCUUCAAUGGCUAUGGAGAAAGAGCUAUGAGUGAGGGAUUGAUGAAGGAGCGUGAUAGAUAAUGAAGCUUGAAAAUCUGAGAGCGGUGAAAAAUGAUUUCUGAAUCUGAGAUUGAGGAGUGGUCGAUACUUAUAGAAUUGGGAUCUCAGAUUCAGAUAGGAAAUGAAAUGCAAAUGCAGCUGAAAUGUCAUUUAGUUAGUUAGAAAUUAGAAAGUUGUUCGAGUCAAAUUCAAAUGAAAUUUGAAAUGAAAUGCAAAUGCAAAAUUCUGUUAGUGUGGAAUGUUAAAUUCAGUUCAGUGAUAACUGUUAGAUGGUACAUGUUAAUUUUCUUAGUGUUAAAAUGAUUUCUCAAAUGGUAGUUCAAAAAUUUUAUUGCUCGAUUAUUUCUUGCACUGCCCUGCUAUGUGAUGCUGUAUGCACUGAAAUGUGAUGGAUAUUAACUGCUAUGUUGAAUGUGAAUGGUCUGCUUGAUUUCAUGUAUGGCCUGUUGUUAGUUCAAGUUGCAAUGCCAUGAUGAAUUAUCUGCUGCUACAUUGAUGUUAUGUUAUUGCAGUAUGUUUUCAUGGCCAUGAGUGCAGGAUAUGGAUUGAUGAUGAUGAACAAACAAGGCUGCAAGUCGACUUGGCUUAUGCAGGGCAAAGCAAUGUUCAUGGUCAAGGUUUGUGAGCUACUGCAGAGCGUUUCCAUGGCUUCAUUGCAACCUAUGAUAUGGUUUUGUUGGCUAAUUGUUUUGACCAGUUGCAUUGCUAUUUGAUGGUGUUUGAUGCUACUAAUUUUGCUCUGCACCAUUACCAGUUCUGCUGGCAUGUUUGGAGUUUGUCUUAUUGAUCCUUUCAGGUCCAUUGCAGCUUUGUCAUGCUUACUUGCAUAGCAUAUUUUGCAUUGAUUCUGACUUUGUAUUGCAGCCUGUAUUGACUUGGUUUUAAAGCAUGUUUCAUGUUGUCUAUGCACUCCUUCUAACAUAGUGUUGCAGAGAGUUUCAUUUCAUGCUUAUGUGCAUGAUCCUGACUUGACCUUGCCUUGUUUGCUUAUGGUUUUGGACAUAAUUAUGACUUGCUGCAUGUUGAAUGCAGGUUUGGCAUGUGGUUUGUUCUACUGCAUGUUUGAGCUUCCAUGGUAAGAUUUUGUUGUUGUUAAUUGUUCAUGCUUGAUAAUCAAUAUGUAUUGCAAUGAAUGAUCUUUAUUCAAUAUGCAGGGUUUUGGUUUGGCUAAUGUGCAAGAUGAUCUAGUUCUUGGUCAUGACUUGGUGUGGAUAGUUGAACAAGGUAUGCACCAAGUGGUUUGCACAAGUUUGAAGGAAUUUUGGAAUGACAAAAGGCAAAAGUAAAGAAUCAAUAGUGAACUUUGGAGAUCAGAAAUAUGACUUAGGACUUUGGGUUGUAAAAAAUGAUUAAGUUGACCAAAAAAUCAACGGUUGAUCGAAGUCAACAUUUGGCCAAAGUUCUUUUUUUUUGUAUUUUUUCUCAUAGAAUGGACAAUCUCAUUAUUUGUAUAAUGGAAAUUGACUUUAGAUGAAUGAAAUUUAUAUUGAAUGAAUGAAUUUGUUAUUUGAAUGUUCUUGUAUGAAUUUGAUAAUUGAAUUGAAUGAAUGGACUUUGAAAUGAAUCUUGAUCAUGAUACUUGGAACUUGUAUGGAA